rnacentral:rRNA from 1 species
CCUGCGGAAGGAUCAUUACCGAGUGCGGGCCCUCUGGGUCCAACCUCCCAUCCGUGUCUAUCUGUACCCUGUUGCUUCGGCGUGGCCACGGCCCGCCGGAGACUAACAUUUGAACGCUGUCUGAAGUUUGCAGUCUGAGUUUUUAGUUAAACAAUCGUUAAAACUUUCAACAACGGAUCUCUUGGUUCCGGCAUCGAUGAAGAACGCAGCGAAAUGCGAUAAUUAAUGUGAAUUGCAGAAUUCAGUGAAUCAUCGAGUCUUUGAACGCACAUUGCGCCCCCUGGUAUUCCGGGGGGCAUGCCUGUCCGAGCGUCAUUGCUGCCCUCAAGCACGGCUUGUGUGUUGGGCUUCCGUCCCUGGCAACGGGGACGGGCCCAAAAGGCAGUGGCGGCACCAUGUCUGGUCCUCGAGCGUAUGGGGCUUUGUCACCCGCUCCCGUAGGUCCAGCUGGCAGCUAGCCUCGCAACCAAUCUUUUUAACCAGGUUGACCUCGGAUCAGGUAGGGAUACCCGCUGA